rnacentral:misc_RNA from 1 species
CCUUGUGAGUGACGGUGAGUGCAUCUGUAAUAUCCUCUUGGAAAAUUAGCUCCGAGAAUAUCUUUCUGGCCAUAUUUUCUCCAGUUAUAACCAUCUUCAAGUGGCCCUUCCAGACCCGUCACUGAACAGACCUUCACUUGCUCGGUCCAUCUGGGUUCUGUCUUUCUCUUCUUGUAAACAUCUUUUUGACAUUGAUCCUUGCAAUCUUGAUCUGAGACAUCACUCUUAGGGCUGCUGUUGGCAAAGUAGUUUGGUGAUUCCAAUGUACUAAUUGUGGGCUUAAUUUCAACCGCACAACCACCCCAAUUUAGCAGGAAAAGUGCUUUUUCAUAGGAGGAAAGUAUCUGCUCAACAAGGAAUUGACGCGUAUCAAGCGACGAAAUAGAGUUAAGAUUAUUUCUUAGCAGUUCUGCUAGCUCUUUCCC